AGUGAACGCUGGCGGUAGGCCUAACACAUGCAAGUCGAACGGCAGCACAGGAGAGCUUGCUCUCUGGGUGGCGAGUGGCGGACGGGUGAGGAAUACAUCGGAAUCUACCUUUUCGUGGGGGAUAACGUAGGGAAACUUACGCUAAUACCGCAUACGACCUACGGGUGAAAGUGGGGGACCGCAAGGCCUCACGCGAUUAGAUGAGCCGAUGUCCGAUUAGCUAGUUGGCGGGGUAAUGGCCCACCAAGGCGACGAUCGGUAGCUGGUCUGAGAGGAUGAUCAGCCACACUGGAACGGAGACACGGUCCAGACUCCUACGGGAGUCAGCAGUGGGGAAUAUUGGACAAUGGGCGCAAGCCUGAUCCAGCCAUACCGCGUGGGUGAAGAAGGCCUUCGGGUUGUAAAGCCCUUUUGUUGGGAAAGAAAUCCUGUCGAUUAAUACUCGGUGGGGAUGACGGUACCCAAAGAAUAAGCACCGGCUAACUUCGUGCCAGCAGCCGCAGUAAAAC
rnacentral:rRNA from 1 species